rnacentral:misc_RNA from 1 species
AACUGCUGUCUCCUGUGCAGUCUUAGUCGGAGUUCAAACCUUCAAAGACAACCAUUUUACUCUUCUAUUUUAAGAAUAAUCUGUUGUCAUGCGCUGGGAAUUGCAAGGGGGUUUGUCUUAAUAGCAGCUGUGACCAUAUACUAUGAAAAGGUGCAUCACCAACCACAGAAAAUAGACAUGCAGUUGUCACAUGUACCGUCAAAUCAUAAACUAGAUAGAUAGUUUAUUUGUCCUGCUCUGGAUUGACUCUUGUCACUGAUUCCGCUCUGCUGGAGCAGCUGACGUGAAGGAACAUGGAGGGAGAAGAGACACAAGAGGUUGAGGACAAUUCUUCCUCUGCUACCCAACUGUCUCAAAGUAGCGGGGUCCCAUCCCUGCCCUCAUGUAACAAACUUGCUGAAAUAAGCAUUACCACAGACAUCUCUGACUCCGAGACAGAUGGUGAUGACAAGUCCUUGUACAACAGCAUGAAGCCUUUAUUGUUCAAGAAGUCAGGUUUUCCCAUUUUGGUUGAUUUAGGACAUGACACUAGGGAGAGGUCUGAUGCAGACAUAUCUGCUUGGUGUGGUGAACAACAGGAUGCUGAGAAGUCAAGACAUAGAUCUCUUGUAAGUAUGGGAACAAAGCCCAUAAAGUUAAAGCCAAAUGUAAAUGAAGAUAGAGAUGGCAGUAAUGCUCCUCCAUCAAAGGUUUCAAAUACCACAGAAACCCUUUCAGAUGGGCUUUCCUUGGAUGAUGUUAAGGUCACCCUGCAAGAAAAUGGCAAUUUUCUGAGUGACAGGGGAUUCCUUAAUGAACUUCUGAAGUCCAUAGAUGAGAAGAUUGCUGAAGACAUUCCCAUGGAGAGUCAGAAUCUCCAUCAGGCAGUUCCUCCAACAAGAGAUCCUGGACCAGGCUUAAAUUGGAAUGCCCACUUGAACCUGCAGGCGCCAAAAGUGGGGAAGGAAGGCCCUUACUUGGUGCCAGGAUACGGGUCUCAGGAGAGGCCUGAUCCCAGCCAGAAGAGUUGUUCUAGUCACAGACUGACAGGAAGUGGAGAAGGGCAUCAGAGCCUCGACAAUAAAUCAAAAUUCAAAUCCACAGGCGAUGAGUAUGAGCAACACCUGAACCCUGCAACUGAGCCUCCUCCUUUAGAUGGUAUUCUCUCUCAGUUUGGCCUGAAACUAACAUCCAGAGAUUGGCAGAAGAUUCCAGAAAAGCAUGUAAAGUUUGACAAGGUGCAUUUUGAGGUUUCAUCAGAAUCUGGCAGCGAUACAGACAUGGGUAGAGGCAGAAGUGAAACUGUAGGCCGGAAAGAUAGAGAGCAGCCGCAUUUGAUGCAGUCAGCCAGAAUUCUGAAAGAACUGACUAACUUGCGAUGGACACUGAAUGGGUGGUGCAGCGUGGAAGCAAAUCCUCCAGUGGAUCAUAAAAGCACACUCUACUUCAUGCAACAACUACUGAACAUGCUUCAUACUCAGCAACUGCACAAAAAGUAUGCUGAAGAGGAGCUCAUGAAGUCACAAAGUGAACUAAAGAGAGUAGGCAAGGAACUGUAUGUGUUACGAGAGGCACAAGAGAACCGAGAGGCUCGUCUUCGUGAAGCAGACUCCCAGCUAGGACAGAUCCAGAAUGAGUGGUUGGGUGUACACAAGAAGUUGCAGGAUGAGCUUCAGAACCAUCGCAUGGAAGUCCAUCAAUUAAAACAGGAAAGAGAUUCUUUACAAGAGGAAAUUGGGCUCAUGAAAAAAGACAUGACCAGAAUGAUGGGCACCAUUAAAAGCCAUGAACAGUCAAAAUACACUCUAGAAGAAAUGCAAGGGCAGCUUUCAGCAAGUAGAAAACAAGUGAUAGAAGUUGUUCAGGAAAAUUCUCGCUUGAACCGACACCUGAGGGAGAAGGAGGAGUCACUGCAAGAACUGGAGGUGGUCAAGCUCCCCCAAGCACAGAAAGAACUGGAAACAGCAAGAAAAAAGCUUAACGACCUAGAAACUUCCCUUGAGCAAGUGGUGCGAGACAAGGCCCACUUGGAGGAUGACCUGAGACUUCUUCAGGACCAGUACAAGACACUCCUUGAGAGAGUGGUUGAGGAGGAAGACAAGAGAGAACAAGCUCUCAAGGACAAGGCAAAGCUUGAAAGACAAGUAGAGGACCUGGCGGCAAAAAUGACCGUCAUGAAGCAGGAACUCCACGACUACUACCAGGCUCGAGUGGAGGAAUUAGUUGGCCAGAAAUCUCAGUCAUUGCAGGACCAGUUAAAUACACUUGAGACAAACUUGAAAGGAAGUCUUGAAGAUCAGUUGGAUGUCCAGAGGAAGAGCCACAAUUAUGCAGUAACCAAUCUUCAGGCGAGCCAUGAAGAAGAACUGAAGAAGGUCAGAGCAUCUCACAUGUCUCAGCUGUCACAGUUGCAGCAGGAGGUAAAAGCACUGCAAGCGGAGAAUCAAGCACUGCAAUCACAGCGACAAGGAAUUAUCACAGCGGUGUCCUCCAUCCUGGGCCCCAACAAGGAAAACCAGCCUGGACUGCUGGGGAAUUUCCGCCUGCAUGAAGUCCCCUGGGAGAAUGGACACAUUUCCACCUCAACCCCCAUAGGCUGUGGAGCAGCCUCUCCACUCAGCGAACAUCUGCCAUCCACCACUACUGCAGCACAUUACCCACAGGCACAGUCACACCACAAAGUGUUCUCGCCACUAGAGUCCCAAACAGAUACCCAGUACAGCAUUCCAGGGGUCAGAAACACAUCUAAUUUUGCUCCCUUGUCAAAGCAGAGUAAUGGAUUGAGGUCUGGGCCAGCCAGCAGGCCCACCUCCGGGAGUAGUUCUCGAGGAAAGACUUCGCGGAGUGGCAGCCGGCCAGCAAGUGGGAAGAGCACAAGGAGUGGCAUCAGCAUACCAGACCUUGGGCUAGGGCUCUCCUCUUCCAGUGACUCGGAUGGAAGUGUUUUCCAAGAAGGCAAGCAGACUGUAAGACAAAUCAUUGGUGGUUCUCUCAGUGUUAUCCCUGCAGACAAGCAUCAGGAAAGCAGCGAGAAAAUAAGAGCAUGGAAGUCAGGGAGUGAUAGGAUAUUUAUGCCCUUGAGGGAUGGAUACGGUGACAAAAACAUCUUCCUCCAAAGUCAGGCUGAGAGAGAGUACAGAUCGCUUCCAGAUUUACAGUCCAAAUCAGGACACAUGAGUGCUGCUGGAGAGAGCUUGGUAGCUGACCACGUAUUAGGAGAACAUCCCUCCAGUGCGGACUUUAAUAAAGAGAAUGAGAGUGCAAAGCCUAGCAGGAAGAUGCAUUACCAAGCAGCAUCACUGAAACCUAUCAAGCAGUCCUUUGGUAAGAAAGUGUACAAGGCUUCAGAGAUCCUGCAGUCUAGUGACAUUACUGAUGACGAGAGGAUGGAUCAGCCUGCACCCAGUCUGAGCCAAGUCGAUCAGGAAAUGGCCAGGCUAUUGCAGGAACUAAAGAAGGUGAGAACAGACUCAACUGCAUCAGAGAGUGAGCCCCCAACCCACGAUACAUCUUUUGACCAGGACCCAGCAAGCAUCACCUUGCAUAAACUGAGCCAAGUAUCCACCAUCUUGUCUCAGUAUGUGGCUCAGUCCCCUGCUUCCUAGUGGGUCGCCGACAGGACACCAUCAGUAUUAAUGUUCCCAGAUUGUUGGGUAUCAGUCCUGUUCAUGAAUCCUGAUGAAUUUUUUGUCAGCUGUUUUCUGUAAUACAACAUGUGCCACCAGUUACAGCAGGCAGGACUAGGAUCCUAACAUGGAACUCCUUCCAGUCUUGGCUCACAGAUAAUACAUUCCACACUCAUUUACCAAUAAGAAAAAUGCAAGACCCCCUUCUUAAAUUCCCACUGAGUCUGAUCAUCCUCCUAGAGCUUUUUGCACUCAUUGCAAGUCAUUCCGGUCUCCCCAGUUUUCAGGUGAAAUUCUCAUGACUGUAUAUUCCUAUCACCUCGGCCCUGAGCUAAAUUUGUCCAUUAUGUCAUGUUCACGCCACCUGGCACUUAAACCAGAAUUUUUCAUUAAUUCCAAAAAAAAAAAAGACCUUUUCACAAGAUACAUAUAACAGUGACCCAUUCAAGAUUAUUUGCUGGCUGAGAGUGAUCAAUCGCCCUGUUUGAUAUGUUGCAAGAGGCACUGAAAGAUACAGGAAAUUGGUUUGCCACCACACUGGUAUUCCUACAUCAAAAGGAUUAAAAAGCUUCUAAGGAUAAUUGACAUCUAAUUUUAACAGAUUUAAAGGUGCUAAAUAGUGAGCAAAAGAAGAAUAUCUUUUGUCAAUCUGAGAUUUCUUAGAAAUAAGUACAAAUACAUGCUAGAAGGUGAGCAUAUGUUUGAAUUCAUGAGAACAAACAUGAUAAUAUGCUGUAAAUCUUUGCAUCGAGUUUUACUAGCCUUAUUAUGGUGACUGCUGCCUAUUUCUUUAGAUACAUUAUCACAGAUAUAUAGUGCUAUGCAUGCAGGUCAGCAAUUAGUAUGUUUUUUUCUCUUAAAGGUGCUUGAAGGAGCAUCAGGCUUGGCAUACAUAUGAAAGCUAAACUCAUAGGUGGUUCAAGGGUGUAGUUCAGUGUAUGGUAAUGUGUGUCAAGUGGGAGUUUUUUUGUGAUCAAAGUACAAACUGGACAUUAGCAAAUCUUUUAAUUAUUUAUUAUUCAACUUUCCACGAAUCUCUUGUGCUCAUGUUUCCAUGGAAGUGUAUCACCUUUGAUCAUCCAUAGUUCUCUCACUAGAAGAAUAAAUACAUUAGAUAAAAGAUGUUUAAGCUUUCCAAAAUAACUGUUUCUGGUCACAGUUAAUGUGCCAAUUUCCAAGUGCCAUUAUUAAAAUAAGAAAGAUAUGACAUAGUAAUAUUUAAAGAUUGGUAAGAACUCCUAUGAGUCACUGCUGUACCAUAGAACUGAAAUAUGAAAUAGGUUUUAUAAUAAAGACAUUUUUUAAAAGUUGUUUUAUUCUAAGAUCUACAUCUAGUAAAACACAAAAUGUGUUGUAAGUUUUAAAGAUAAUACAUGAAUUGUCAUUCAAAGAGAAUGUGUGCGUGUGUGUGUGUGUGUGUGUGUGUGUGUGUGUGUGUGUGUGUGUGUGUGUGUGUGUGUGUGUGUGUGUGUGUGUGUGUGUGUGGUGGGGGGGGGGGCUGUGAGAUGAUGGGAGAUCACAAGAGCAACUAUCAUUCUCUCUCCCCAUCCCUCCCUCUUCCUCUCUCUAUCUCUCCCUUUAUUUAUUUAUUGAAAAAUUUCUGCCAUGUCAACAUCUAAUAGCAGUCUAUUCAAAAGAUGAGGAUAGUGUUAGGCUUGGGGGGCAAAACCCCUAUUUAAGGAAGUGCUAUGUGACAUCAAAGGUCAUAUAGUGGUAUGGUAAAGUAUAGUUGCAAAAAGGGUUAGGAAUGAGUUAAUGAUUAGGGUACAGAUACAGGUUGAACAGUACUAGAGGGUAGUAUGGUAGAGAAAUGGAUAGAGAGGGGGAGCUGAUGGGGUAUAAUAUAAGGUAAAGGUUGUUAGAAGAGGAAGGAGUUAAGGGAGGAGGGAGCAUCAUGAUAAAAGUAUUGUGGCAAAAAUGAGUUAAUAAGGAUAAGUGGCCAGUACAAGGGGUUGAAGAAAAGGAAAAGGAAAAGAGAAGAAAAGACCAUGCAAAAUGAGUUGAGGCAAGGGGCUGAGGACCAAGGCAGGGGUGAUCCCCUACAUUGGGCAUCGACCAGUAUAUUAACCAACCUGGGCGAAGAUGACUCGAUACAUCUGUAAUCCAUUAUUGAGGGUCAGCUUGAAAUGUCCCUGAAAAGUAACUAGUAAAUCAUGUAUACCCCCAAGAAAGGGAGGACAAAUGAGGAUAAGCAGAGGGCUGCAGUAACUCAUUCUGUUGUGUCUGCACAUGUCUGGGCACCCAGUAAAACCUGAGUUUUUUUUUAUUUUUUCAUAUCUUGUAUUAUGUUUAUACUUGAAAUAUCUAUCAAUACUGUGGACAGACAAACUGCAGUCUUUACCACACAAAAACUAUUGAAGAAAUUUCCAUUUAGUUAGAGGAAAUGAAAUUUAAACUUUAAAAAUUUUAAACUUUUCUCUUCAAUUUAUUACACUUUCCAGAUAAGGUUUGAAAACAACAGACAAUCUUCAUAAGUUUACUUUUCACAGGGAUGUUAUUUACAUCAAAAUAAAUAUUUCUAAAUAAUGCUACUUUGGGUAGGAAAAGCCAAGAUGCACAAACAUACACACUACAUACAUUCACAUACAUGUACAACACAAUUUGUUUACACCGUGGGAACACUUAGUAAUGUGUGGUGGAUAUUGGUUUUCAAAUACAUGGGCCGUAAAAUUAAAUAAUGAACACAUCCUAAUAUUGACUUUAGGAAUGUAUCAACCAAACCAUUAACAAAACUUCAUUCAAGAACCUUCAACAAAGAACUGCACCUGGGAUAACCUAAUAUUCUAGCACUUUCUCUUUUUUGUACCUGAUAAUUGAGUAAUUCUCCUGAAAGUGAGUUUUGGAAUGGAGCUUUUUGGAUUUUCAGGCAUCGCUUCCUGAAAUACAGCUUUCAUGAUUUCACUUCAUAUCUUGCAGUGAUGUGAAUAAGAAAGGGGGAUUGGUUUUCAGUUUUCACAAAAGAAGAGUAUUGGUAAUUGCAUGUAUCCUCAAACACAAGAAAAUUAUAAUCAUACUACACAUUGGCUUAUGUACAUGUGCACAAUUGUAUGUAUACAGCUAUCCAGCCACACACACACAUACAUACAAACAAACUUACAUAAUGUUGGAAUUUUAUUUGCCAGUUUAAAUAUAUAUCUUUUAACAAAGUCUUUCAUCUACAUAAUAAACUUUACUUCUUUUUAAUCAACAUUUUCUGACAAAUAUUCUUGUCAAUAUAUGUACUGUUAAUAUUCUUUAUUUGACUCCUCAAAUAUUCUAACACAUAAAAAAAAAACAAAAAAAAAACCUGAGGGUAAUUUUUUCUAUAAAUAUACUUACAGCAUCUUAGUCCUAACGGAUGCUUACAGCUAAAGGAUAUCUUUCUAUUUUGGCAACCAUAAAUAAUAUACAUUUAUCUGCUAACAUUGAAAACUCAACAACACUCAACAUAUAACCUACAAAAACAUUCAAAAUCCACCAAAUGACAUUUACUGGCAACAGCCCUAUGAAGAGAAUCCUAAAGAAAAGAAAAAGAAAAAACUCUAUAACACACUAUAAAUAUAUUGCAUAUAUAUAUAUACUAAUAAAGAACAUUGUCCUAUGGAUUCCCUUUAAAUUCAAAAAAGUAUAUAUAUACCAAAGUAAAUUGCAUACCCAUAAAUACUUAAAUAAUCAUCUAGUAGUCCCCUCAGUAAUACCAUUUGUGGUGGAAAAGAAAAAGUUUCGAUAUUUGAAAAAGAAAAACAACAACAACAACAUGACAGUUGCUUCACAAUCACAAACACAGUGCUAGGUAGGAAAGAAAGGUCAUUCUAUAUAUGAUACAACAAAGGUUUCACACUAGUAAACUUUAUGUCCUUAUAAUUUCAGUACUUGGAACGAUUAUUAACCCUCUGUCUUUAUGCAAUGGUAUGCACAUUCUAGAGUGUUACACUGUUGAUCCACAAUUUGCUAAAAAUAACAAAAAGCAAUAUUUCAAAACCAAAAGUAAAUAACAGCAGCUUCAGAAAAGUAAGACAGUCCUUCAAUAAAAAAUUAACAACUCAAAUACUAUUAAAUCAAUGAUUUUCAAGCUGUACUUAGAACUCACAGAUUUCCUUCAUGAUUUUGAGUUGUAAAGAGUAUAUUUUUUUUUCUGUUGUGAACAGCCACAAAUAUUGACACACAAAAGAAAACAUAAGGAACUCACUAUUGCUACAUCUAUUCAAUAAUUCUUUUAACCCAAACUCAAACAGAUUUCCUUAUAAAAUAUCAAAAAAUUGUUAGCUGAAGAUAUACAUACCUAUUUAUUUUACAAGCAGUAACAGUAUGAAAACAAAAAUCAAUUCUCAAAGUUGUUUGAUUAAAUGUAACUUCUUUAGAAUGA